GUUUUAUACGUGUGGAAGUGAAAGUAAUUCACACGUAUUUGAAUCGAGUGUGAUACUGGAGCAGAGUAUCAAAACACAUUCAUGGUAGUUGGUCAGUACUCCUGUUAAAAGAUACACCCCAGCCCAUCAUAGUAAUAAAAUGGUUGCAAUAUAUCCCAAGUUUGUUGAUAUGCCAUUUUAAGUCAAAGAUUAACAUAUUGCUUUUGUAUUAUUUUAAAAGAUGUAGCAUAAAAGUAUAGCAUAGUAGAUAGGCAGAAUCAGUUUCUCCUCAAAGGAAACUAGUCCUUUCAAGAGCUCAGCCCAAAUAUCUGACACAUACAAAGAUGCAGGAGGAAAAAGUUCACCAUACUUGUUAAUAUAGCAAAAGAUCUGAGGUGGAUUAUUUAUUUCUGUGAGUGA
rnacentral:lncRNA from 1 species